rnacentral:rRNA from 1 species
ACACGAGCGGCGAACGGGUGAGUAACACGUGGGUGAUCUGCCCUGUACUUCGGGAUAAGCCUGGGAAACUGGGUCUAAUACCGGAUAUGACCCAAGGUUGCAUGACUUUGGGUGGAAAGAUUUAUCGGUACAGGAUGGGCCCGCGGCCUAUCAGCUUGUUGGUGGGGUAACGGCCUACCAAGGCGACGACGGGUAGCCGACCUGAGAGGGUGACCGGCCACACUGGGACUGAGACACGGCCCAGACUCCUACGGGAGGCAGCAGUGGGGAAUAUUGCACAAUGGGCGAAAGCCUGAUGCAGCGACGCCGCGUGGGGGAUGACGGCCUUCGGGUUGUAAACCCCUUUCGACAGGGACGAAGCGCAAGUGACGGUACCUGUAGAAGAAGCACCGGCCAACUACGUGCCAGCAGCCGCGGUAAUACGUAGGGUGCGAGCGUUGUCCGGAAUUACUGGGCGUAAAGAGCUUGUAGGCGGUCUGUCGCGUCUUCUGUGAAAACUUGGGGCUCAACCUUAAGCUUGCAGGGGAUACGGGCAGACUAGAGUACUUCAGGGGAGACUGGAAUUCCUGGUGUAGCGGUGAAAUGCGCAGAUAUCAGGAGGAACACCGGUGGCGAAGGCGGGUCUCU